rnacentral:rRNA from 1 species
UAGGGAAUCUUCUGCAAUGGACGAAAGUCUGACCGAGCAACGCCGCGCGAGUGAAGAAGGUUUUCGGAUCGUAAAACUCUGUUGUUAGAGAAGAACAAGGACGUUAGUAACUGAACGUCCCCUGACGGUAUCUAACCAGAAAGCCACGGCUAACUACGUGCCAGCAGCCGCGGUAAUACGUAGUUGGCAAGGGUUGUCCGGAUUUAUUGGGCGUAAAGCGAGCGCAGGCGGUUUCUUAAGUGUGAUGUGAAAGCCCCGGGCUCAACCGGGGAGGGGCAUUGGAAACUGAGAGAAGUGAGUGGAGAAGAGGAGAGUGGAAUUCCAUGUGUAGCGGUGAAAUGCGUAGAUAGAUGGAGGAACACCAGUGGCGAAGGCGGCUCUCUGGUCUGUAACUGACGCUGAGGCGCGAAAGAGUGGGGAGCAAACAGG